AAUCUUGCGCAAUGGGCGAAAGCCUGACGCAGCGACGCCGCGUGUGGGAAGAAGGCCUUCGGGUUGUAAACCACUUUCAGGAGGGAAGAAGCGAAAGUGACGGUACCUCCAGAAGAAGCCCCGGCCAACUACGUGCCAGCAGCCGCGGUAAUACGUAGGGGGCGAGCGUUGUCCGGAAUUAUUGGGCGUAAAGAGCUCGUAGGCGGUCCUUUAAGUCGGAGGUGAAAUCUCAGGGCUCAACCCUGAAAUUGCCUUCGAUACUGGAGGACUUGAGGCAGGUAGGGGAGAACGGAAUUCCUGGUGUAGCGGUGAAAUGCGCAGAUAUCAGGAGGAACACCGGUGGCGAAGGCGGUUCUCUGGGCCUGUUCUGACGCUGAGGAGCGAAAGCGUGGGGAGCAAAC
rnacentral:rRNA from 1 species